CCCCUUCUCCUGACCUCAAUAUUUCCCAGCCUCAAGGUCUUUUGCAAUGAGUCGGCUCUUCGCCUCAGGUGGCCAAAGUACUGGAGCUUCAGCAUCAGUCCUUCCAAUGAAUAUUCGGGGUUGAUUUCCUAUAAGAUGGAUCUCCUUGCUGUCCAAGGGAUUCUCAAGAGUCUUCUCCAGCACCACAGUUUGAAAGCAUCAAUUGUUCAGCACUCAGCCUUCUUUGUGAUGCAAGGAGAGCAAGAAGAUGUCAGCAGAAGUUCAAUUAAUGGUCAAGAAGAGAAAAAGGAAUUUUAUUUGAAUCAAAUUGAGGAUUAUAACCCAGAAAGCAGAUUCUCUGAGAACUGUUCUGCCUGUUAGACGUCAAAGGGACAGUCAUGUACAUUUUUGAGACAAAGAAUCAUCCAUCAAAAUGACAUAUCGAUAAUUUUACACAAAGUUCACCAAAGAUACACAGGCCAGGUAAGCACAUACAAAGUGAAGAGCGAGUCACUUUGAUCUCUUAUAGGGUUGGGAAAGAAAGCUGUCCUUUGAAGAAGUUACAUUGUUAGUGCUGCAGAGAAGAAGCCAGUGCUGACUCCAUGUUGGAAACUGUUUCUCUGACUUGCUUUUAUUUGAUUUUGUUAUUAUAAUCAUACAUAAUAGCCUGCCUCAGAAGACCCUGCCCCUCUGCCUGACUGUAAACUAAAGUACCUUUGUUCAGCUCAUAGAGAGAUAAUCUGACUCUGCCUACCUAUGAAUAGCUACAACAAAAAGAAGAGAUGAACACACCCUUUCCAAAGGCUUACCAUUCCUGGAGAUGUCUUGCAAGACUGAGGACACUUUCAUUUUAUUUCCCCACUGCCUCUCCCUCUCUAUUCUGCCUUUUGACUUCAGUUCCUCCUUGCUUCUCUCUUUCUGACUGUAUAAAAGAACCUGAUAUCCGGUUCCUGACAGGAUGGUUACCCUGAAACAUUAGUUUGCCAUCUUCUUGGUCACCUGGCUUUCAGAAUAAAAUCAUAUUCCUUGCCUCAACACCUCACCUCUUGGAUUCAUUGGCUUGUCAUGUGGUGAGCAGUAUGAGCUUGGGCUCGGGAACACUAGUAGCAUCAGAAGGAAGGGGAGAAAACAAUUGUUAUGGUCAAACAGGCACUCCCAUCUUUUAGAAAUUCUGGCUAAUAUGAAAUGCCAAUGUAAACUGCACACUAGCGUGAAAGAGAAAAGGUCCAAAUGGACACAGAGAGAGAAGUUUAUGUUUAAACUUUCUUGAUGUGCCUUAAAAUAUAAAUUUUAUUUGAUCAGCUUGGUUUAUGUUCCUUACUUUAGAGCAAGAAGAUAUUAACCAUGAACCAAGGAAAUGGUUUACAUUUCCCUAAGUAUUUUUUUAAAAUUUUUUAAUUUUUAAUCAGAAGAUAAUUGCUUUACUUGUUUACUUUUUAUUACCAUAUAACACCUGAUCACAGGGAACUUUUUAAAUGUCAGGUAAAUAAUAAAAUGCUGUUGUAUAGUACAAAUUGCAAUUUUUAAAAAAAUGUCUAUAAUGGUACAUUUAUAAUAAUUUGGUGGUCUAAACAGUAUUGUUAUUUGUUUUUUACAAUUGAACAUCAGAGAGGUUAAGGAACUUGCCUAUGUUUGCAGAGUUUACAAGUGAUGGAGCUGUAACUCAGUCUAGGCCCUUUGAUUCUAAUCUUGUGCUUUUUAAAACUCGUUGUUUAGAUCAUAUGAGAUAAAAGAAAAUAAAUGUAUUUGUCUCCACCUCCAGUUCCUAGCACAGAGCUCCUAAAACUCUUGUAGUUUCCUAAGUGAUAAGAGCAUUAGAAGUAUCUUUGGGCCUAGUGUUUGUUCUUUGACCCCAGAGUUCCUUCCUUGGUGAUAGCCUUGUCUUUUGUUCUAAUGAGGCAAGUUUUGAUGGCCUUUAGGGCUGAUCACCAAAAAGAUGAAGCUGUAAUUAGAAAGCCUGGAGUUUCAGCCCCACCCUCAUUCUCCAAAGAGGGGAGAAAAGCUAGAAACUAAGUCAGUGAUAGCUCAUGCCUACAUGAUGAAGACUCCAUGAUGAAGCAUCCAUAAAGCUCCCCAAUGUUGUGGUGUGACAAGUUCCCUGCUGGUGAACACACCCACUGAUGGAGAGGAUGGCACACUCCAAUUCCAGGGGAUAGAGCUCCUGCGCCUGGGAAUCUCCCAGACCUGGCCCUACGUAUGUCUUCAUCUGGUGGCUCACCUGUAUCCUUUAUCAAGUUCUUCAUUUUAUAGUGAACUGCAACAUUGCCUGGGAAAUCUUAUGGACAGAGGAGCCUGGUGGGCUACAAUCCAAGGGGUCACAAAAGAGUUGGACGCAACUUAGCUCCUACAACAAAACAACAAUAAGAAUAAAGCAGAAACAGGGGAAAGGCAGUUUUCCUGGAAAGACUGCAUAAGAGAACCAUGCUCACACAUGUCAACUGGAUGAUACUGUACAACUUAAAGGUUGCAAGUUAUGUUUUGUUCUGGGACCUUCCUGAGGACUCAAGCCCAGGAGGUAGCCUCUCAGAUAGCUCUGAGGAGCUGUCCCAAUGAAGUAAGGGAGUAGUCAGAAUACACAGGAGUUUUUGCUGGGGAAAAAAAAUGUAGUUAAACAUCAGAAGACUACUGUGAAUCACGAGAAACAGACUGCCCAAGUUAGUAAUCUUAGACUUUUCUAUACAUGGAAAGAUGCAAGCGUGUGGACUCGUUGAACUCUUUCACUCGGUGCACAUCUUCAUCACCUGGGCCGAUACCCUGUGUUUCCCAUCCUGAACCUCCCUCGGGCUGCACCACCAAGAGUGGUUGCGGUGGCUGAUGCUUCAUGGCUGGCAACAUCUGUUGCUUGCUGAAAUGGUAGGCAACAUUUUUUCUCUUCACUCAAGUGUUCAACUCUCUUCAGAUCCAAAGUCAUUAAUUUGGGGAAUAAAGCAUGCAUACCAGAAAGAAUAUUGAUUUUUAUAGAAUUGAUCUUGAGCUUAAAACAACCCGUGUCAUCAUGCCCUACCACUGGGAGGAUAAUGUAACUUCCAAUUUUUCCUCACCUGUCAGAGAACUCAAAUGGUACCUACUUUGCAGGGGUUUUGUGAGGGACUGGCCUCCCUUAUCACACUGCAGAUGUUCUCUGGGACCUUGACUUCCACAUGGUGUGGCCAUCGAACUGAGAAGUGGAGCAGGACUCCUUAUCCCCAACUCUGUCCUUUCUCUAGGCCAAGAGAUGCUCUUCCUCCUCUGAUGCUCCCUCCAAAGUGUUGCCUCAACCCUCCCCUGCAGGACUAGAGCACUAAAUCCUCCAAUGGUGCUGUUUUAAGCCACUGAGCUUGUGACAACUUGUUAUGCAGCAGCAGCUAGCUAACAAGCCUGGGGAAACUGCCCCAAAAGCGCUGACUUGCAUAUUCAUUAUUAUUUUUUUCUGUUAUGUCCUAUAAAUAAUUUUUGUGAUGUAUACCUACCUAAAAAACAUUUUCUGUAUAAUAAUUGGAGUGACUUCUGGCUUCCUAAAAGAUAUGUGCCUUAUAACAUAUAAAAUCAAUCUUUCUCCCUUUUGUUUUUUAAAUCAAUCUUUCUAAGGCAUUUGGAAGACCAUAGUAACACAUUUCUGAUUGCAAUCAUUCUGUGAGAUACUAAAUUUCCUGUGACUACAGUCAGAGUCUGAUUAUUUUUGGAACCCCCAACACACAACAUAGUGCUUCCUAUAUGACAUAUUCUUACAAAUAUGGUUUAUUAAAUCAAUGAGAAAAGUCUAUGUUUGUUUAUUUUAUCUAUACCAACAAAAAUUCAGAG